ACUCCUACGGGAGGCAGCAGUGGGGAAUCUUAGACAAUGGGGGAAACCCUGAUCUAGCCAUGCCGCGUGAGUGACGAAGGCCCUAGGGUCGUAAAGCUCUUUCACCAGGGAAGAUAAUGACGGUAACUGGAAAAGAAACCCCGGCUAACUCCGUGCCAGCAGCCGCGGUAAUACG
rnacentral:rRNA from 1 species